rnacentral:rRNA from 1 species
GGUUAAGCGACUAAGCGUACACGGUGGAUGCCCUGGCAGUCAGAGGCGAUGAAGGGCGUGCUAAUCUGCGAUAAGCGCCGGUAAGGUGAUAUGAACCGUUAUAACCGGCGAUACCCGAAUGGGGAAACCCAGUGUGACUCGUCACACUAUCAUUAACUGAAUCCAUAGGUUAAUGAGGCGAACCGGGGGAACUGAAACAUCUAAGUACCCCGAGGAAAAGAAAUCAACAAC